rnacentral:rRNA from 1 species
GCAAGUCGAGCGGACAGAAGGGAGCUUGCUCCCGGAUGUUAGCGGCGGACGGGUGAGUAACACGUGGGUAACCUGCCUGUAAGACUGGGAUAACUCCGGGAAACCGGAGCUAAUACCGGAUAGUUCCUUGAACCGCAUGGUUCAAGGAUGAAAGACGGUUUCGGCUGUCACUUACAGAUGGACCCGCGGCGCAUUAGCUAGUUGGUGAGGUAACGGCUCACCAAGGCGACGAUGCGUAGCCGACCUGAGAGGGUGAUCGGCCACACUGGGACUGAGACACGGCCCAGACUCCUACGGGAGGCAGCAGUAGGGAAUCUUCCGCAAUGGACGAAAGUCUGACGGAGCAACGCCGCGUGAGUGAUGAAGGUUUUCGGAUCGUAAAGCUCUGUUGUUAGGGAAGAACAAGUGCAAGAGUAACUGCUUGCACCUUGACGGUACCUAACCAGAAAGCCACGGCUAACUACGUGCCAGCAGCCGCGGUAAUACGUAGGUGGCAAGCGUUGUCCGGAAUUAUUGGGCGUAAAGGGCUCGCAGGCGGUUUCUUAAGUCUGAUGUGAAAGCCCCCGGCUCAACCGGGGAGGGUCAUUGGAAACUGGGAAACUUGAGUGCAGAAGAGGAGAGUGGAAUUCCACGUGUAGCGGUGAAAUGCGUAGAGAUGUGGAGGAACACCAGUGGCGAAGGCGACUCUCUGGUCUGUAACUGACGCUGAGGAGCGAAAGCGUGGGGAGCGAACAGGAUUAGAUACCCUGGUAGUCCACGCCGUAAACGAUGAGUGCUAAGUGUUAGGGGGUUUCCGCCCCUUAGUGCUGCAGCUAACGCAUUAAGCACUCCGCCUGGGGAGUACGGUCGCAAGACUGAAACUCAAAGGAAUUGACGGGGGCCCGCACAAGCGGUGGAGCAUGUGGUUUAAUUCGAAGCAACGCGAAGAACCUUACCAGGUCUUGACAUCCUCUGACAACCCUAGAGAUAGGGCUUUCCCUUCGGGGACAGAGUGACAGGUGGUGCAUGGUUGUCGUCAGCUCGUGUCCUGAGAUGUUGGGUUAAGUCCGCAACGAGCGCAACCCUUGAUCUUAGUUGCCAGCAUUCAGUUGGGCACUCUAAGGUGACUGCCGGUGACAAACCGGAGGAAGGUGGGGAUGACGUCAAAUCAUCAUGCCCCUUAUGACCUGGGCUACACACGUGCUACAAUGGACA